rnacentral:rRNA from 1 species
CCCUUAGAUGUUCUGGGCCGCACGCGCGCUACACUGACGAUGGCAACGAGUUUUUCCUUCGCCGAAAGGUGUGGGUAAUCUUUUGAAACAUCGUCGUGCUGGGGAUAGAUCAUUGCAAUUUUUGAUCUUGAACGAGGAAUUCCUAGUAAGCGCGAGUCAUCAGCUCGCGUUGAUUACGUCCCUGCCCUUUGUACACACCGCCCGUUGCUACUACCGAUUGAAUGGUUUAGUGAGGACUCCUGAUUGGCGCCGCCGCCCCGGCAACGGAGCAGCGGACUGCCGAAAAGUUGUUCAAACUUGAUCAUUUAGAGGAAGUAAAAGUCGUAACA